AUAACACGUGAGUAACCUGCCCCUGACUCUGGGAUAAGCGUUGGAAACGACGUCUAAUACUGGAUAUGAUCGCCGGCCGCAUGGUCUGGUGGUGGAAAGAUUUGUUGGUUGGGGAUGGACUCGCGGCCUAUCAGCUUGUUGGUGAGGUAAUGGCUACCAAGGCGACGACGGGUAGCCGGCCUGAGAGGGUGACCGGCCACACUGGGACUGAGACACGGCCCAGACUCCUACGGGAGGCAGCAGUGGGGAAUAUUGCACA
rnacentral:rRNA from 1 species